rnacentral:rRNA from 1 species
UACGUAGGGUGCGAGCGUUAAUCGGAAUUACUGGGCGUAAAGCGUGCGCAGGCGGUUUUGUAAGCCAGAUGUGAAAUCCCCGGGCUUAACCUGGGAAUGGCAUUUGGGACUGCAAGGCUCGAGUGCGGCAGAGGAGACUGGAAUUCCUGGUGUAGCAGUGAAAUGCGUAGAUAUCAGGAGGAACACCAAUGGCGAAGGCAGCUCGCUGGGACGGUAUUGACGCUGAGACGCGAAAGCGUGGGGAGCAAACAGG